UUCGGUUAAGUCCGCUAACGAGCGCAACCCUCCGCUGUGUGUUAUAUGUGUCACACGGGACGUGCCGGUCGUUAAGCCGGAGGAAGGUGGGGAGUGAUGUCAAGUCAGCAUGGCCUUUAUAUCCUGGGCUACACACACGCUACAAUGGCCAACACAAUAGGUUGCUAAGCCGCGAGGUGGCGCCAAUCCAUAAAGUUGGUCUCAGUUCAGAUUGUAGGCUGCAACCCGCCUGCAUGAAGAUGGAGUUGCUAGUAACCGCAGGUCAGCUAUACUGCGGUGAAUACGUUCCCGGGUUUU
rnacentral:rRNA from 1 species